rnacentral:rRNA from 1 species
UACGAAGGGGGCUAGCGUUGCUCGGAAUCACUGGGCGUAAAGCGCACGUAGGCGGAUUCUUAAGUCAGGGGUGAAAUCCCGGAGCUCAACUCCGGAACUGCCUUUGAUACUGAGAAUCUUGAGUUCGAGAGAGGUGAGUGGAACUGCGAGUGUAGAGGUGAAAUUCGUAGAUAUUCGCAAGAACACCAGUGGCGAAGGCGGCUCACUGGCGCGAUACUGACGCUGAGGUGCGAAAGCGUGGGGAGCAAACAGG